rnacentral:lncRNA from 1 species
GGGCCGCCUCCUCCGCGGGAGGCCCGCGGCGCCCGCUCCGUGUGAGGCGGCGGGGCCCGGCCGCGCCUCCCGGCCCGAGCGGAGCCCCGCGGGCGCUGUCGCAGCCCGGUGUUUUACCCGUGCUUCGCUCCCUCCGCGGAGGGAGCAGCUCGCGAGGAGCGGGAGCGGCGCGGGGUGUCAGGAAAAGGAAGGGGUCGCUGAGGUGACUCGCGCUGGGUUUCCUACCUGUGUAGGCUGGCGGCCUGCCUCGCUCCUCUGAGGCUUCCAAGCAGCCUAACCCCCCGAAUAUGUAAUGCUGCAUAACGCUGUUUCGAUUUUGUAUUUAGCUCACAGAAACACGAGUUUCUGGUAUGCUAGGAAUCACUGAAAACAGGAGCUGUGGUGCUUCAUCUGCUCCAUCCACGUGUGGUAGCACAGCAGCUUGUGCUGCUCACCCGUCGGGUUCCUGUGCCCGAAUGAAUGUUUUUUUUCGUGGGAAUGUGAAAUGGAAAGGGGAGGCUGGGUGGAGCUGUCAACUAUAGCAGUGACUGCUUUGGAAUAUAAUUAUUCUUACUGCUCUGACCUCAGAGGUCAGUAACAAAUGUAGCCCUGAAGCUGUGCCAUAUUUUUUCCAAGCCAAUUCUAAUAAAACUUUAUUCCCUCUACUUUCUGAAGUGGCUUUUGGCUGGUAGUGUGACACAUCUGUGGGUUACUCGUAAAAGGUUCGAAAGGCUUAACUAAAAUGUCUGCUGUCACUAAGCUUAAAUUCAGUGCGCAGGAGAGCUCUCACUUCUUCAGAGGUUAGUAACGUAGUAAAAAGGGGUAAUGGCCAAAACAGCGUGGUUUCAUGGAUGAUUUGCAUAGUUGCCAAGAACAAAACUACGCUGAAAGAUAGGUUUGCUUCACACCUCAGGAUUGCAUGGGGGUUUGAUGGUUGCUCAGUGGGAGUGUAGAGAUGGAUGAGGUCAAGCUGAAUUUUAUUGUUAUGUUCUGUUCUCCCUUCUUCUCAGUGUUCCAGGGCGAAAACUUCACUGUAGCUGAUGAGUAUUUGUUGACCCGUGAAGAAUUCUGUAGUAAAACUGAAAAAGAAAACUUUUGCCAGCAGCCACUGUGUUGGGAACACAGAACGAUGGAAAAAAGAAAACCUUGGCUGUCAGUGCCUGUGUACCUGAUGGCGCGUCCUACAGAGAGCAGAUCUGAAAGGCAAGAUUCACUUGAAUAUCUUCAAGCAGUCGGUUUCAGGGUACCUGCAGAGAAUGCUGGCCUUGGAUUUUCACUGAGCUGGUGCUUAGUACUGGUGGUAGAGGAGAGCUUUGGCCUCCUCUCCCAACACAUUCAUCCCUGGCCCAAUGCUGAUGGGCAGUGCUGUGCUUGCCAGAAGGUUUGGUCUUCCCAGUUGUGUCAGUUUGUCAGCCUAAGUGACUUUGUCAUCACCCAGCACCUCCUGAUGAUGAACAGCAGCUAAUGCCCUUGUGAAUAAAUUCACCACUGAAAGCUAAAUCUCUGGAAAU